rnacentral:rRNA from 1 species
CAGUAGCCGCGGUAAUACGAAGGGGGCUAGCGUUGCUCGGAAUUACUGGGCGUAAAGGGAGCGUAGGCGGACAUUUAAGUCAGGGGUGAAAUCCCGGGGCUCAACCUCGGAAUUGCCUUUGAUACUGGGUGUCUUGAGUAUGAGAGAGGUGUGUGGAACUCCGAGUGUAGAGGUGAAAUUCGUAGAUAUUCGGAAGAACACCAGUGGCGAAGGCGACACACUGGCUCAUUACUGACGCUGAGGCUCGAAAGCGUGGGGAGCAAACAGGAUUAGAUACCCCAGUAGUCCCUGUCUCUUAUAC